GUCCUGGAACAAAAGCACCUGAUUUAGAAGAAGAUGAUAAAUUGUAUGAGGACUUCAAUAUGGAUGAAGUUGACUUGAAUAUUUAGAACUAUGAAGAAAUAUUUGGUGUAGCUCUUAAUGAUCCAGAACAACUGUUUGGUAAUGAUGGAAUUGGUAGCUUGUUUGGAGUGAAGGACAUAUCCGGUGCUGAUUUGAACUGUUAAGGCACAUAUGCAGCUGAGGGUGUUCUUUACGCAAUUAGCAUCAUUGAUUUGUCCAGCUGAAUUAGAAGAUAAUCGAGUCCGAGUAAUUUUUCAAUAUUCUUGGAGCUUAUUAUUUGUCAAUUAAUGUGCUCUUUGUAUCCAUUUUUGUUUUGGCAUCCAAGUUAGUCAACUAAUAUAUUGAUGUAUAUUUUUGCAAGUAGUGUUGAGGGAAUAGUUUGUAUGAUUGAGUGGGUGAUAUUGAGAGCUAAACUGAGAUUUUUUUUUUGAGGACUUGAAUAUAUUAGUAUUUUGUAUAAAUACUUUUAAGGAUAGUUGAUGGAUAUUUAUUUUGCAUGUAUAGAAGUCUAUAUUUUGUAUGCA